AGAAACAGUCCGACUGAUUUCCCCGCUGGUAAUCUCCAUCCCCGCUCCCCAAGCAUCCUCGGCACUCUUAGAAAUACGCCUUUUGCUUCGUCUUUCCUUAUAAAUAAAAGGCGAUGAAUGUAUCAAACAAAUAGGAUGGAUUUGUUCUAAAGUACAUCAUGGGGCAGAAAUGGCCAGGUUCUGGGCUAAGUAGUUUCCAUUGGACAGGCUCCACCGGGGAGCUGAAGUCUGAGUGCCACCUCCCCCUCAGAACACCCCCCGCCAGGGGACAUGCUGAGCCCCUCCCUGAGCAUCGCCAGCACCAAGUGUGGUACCCAGCACUGGAGACUGUGCAGCGGUCCGUGACUCGCUGCAGCGGAGCAGGGACACGCGGUGCAGCUCACGCCUGACGUCCCAUCGCAUGGACUCACACCUCACCACAGCUCCACAACACCCAGAGUGCCUCCCAGGGAGGAGGAGCACCCCCGAAAAGCCGAGAGCCCAGGGGGCUUCAAGGAGAGGGCGUGUCGAACAUCCAUUUCUGUCACUGUAAUUGUUGCUGCAGGUUGCUUCUAGGUCUGAACUGUCUACAGCAAAGGAACCUAACAGCCAACAGGCAGAUGGACUUGGCACCGUCUUAAGACUAAAAGCAGAAUUAUCAGUAAAAAUGAGAAGCUGUUCGAUACUCAACUGAAAUUACACGUCAAAAUUACGCGCCCUGAAUGUAUUAUAUGAGAAUCACGUCCUUAGAAAAGUCCUUCCUUAGAAAAACUAUGUGUCCUGAAUACCUGACAGGCAUCUUGAAAAUUAAGGUUCAAGUGUGAAGGCAGAAAUUUUUUUUAUCAUUGCGAACAACUGAAGCAUUACAAAUGAAUGGCACAAAUGUAAACAGAUAUAAAAUGAAACGAAUCCCUUUAAGCAGUGCCACUUCAGUAACAGCGCCGCCUUGGGAAGAUAACAUUGUCACCUGGUAACUCCUCUAUUAAGGAAAAGCAACGAAAUUGGUUAGGAUGACACAGAACUGCCGCGGCGGCGCUUAGAAGCAUUCGUGGGGAUGUGUAUACCUGCCCUCGGUACACGUGCUCGCCUCAUACCACAGACGUCUCUGUUUAAAUACCCAAUGCUCACAGUGUCUUACUAUCUUGCAAGGCAGAAAAAUGGCAUGUGAGAGCUGGCCUGGAAAACAGGGGACACGAAAAGGAACACACAGCCUUAUCUUCCCCGCGGGAGUGCACGUGCCCGGUGACCUCCUCUGACGCCAGGAAUUCCUCAUCCAGUGGACACUUCGACCUCCAGUGUCUCUUGAUUUCAAGGUUUUCCAAAAAGGUAUGACAGCCCAUCUCCCCGACCGAUGUCACAGAGACCUGACCUCCUCUCCCCAUCACGGCCUCCCAGCAGCUCUGCUUCUGCACACGGAACUGCACGCACGGACGGGGUUCACGAGAGCCGGGGUCGGGGCAAAGCUGAGACGUGAGCCUCAAGUCUAGGAAGUGGCCCACGUCUAGAGGAGCCUCAGGGAUGCGAAGACCCCUGCAAGUGAAUCCUGGCUCGGAGGCUGGGCAGAGCCACAGUGGGAACUCACAGCGCAGGAAGCGUGGACUGUGGUUAACGAAGAAGCUGCUUCGGAACCGGUGCGUGAACUCUGGCAGGUGUGCCGCGGCAGCAUCCGGCCUUAAUACCGGGAUCCUGAGCGUGGGACGCGUGGGGACACGUGGGGACUGGACUGCCUCCUCAAUGUCUCUACAAACCGGCCUAUUCUGAAAUGAAAACCACCAAAAAUGCUCCUCUUACUGAUGGAUUUUGACCCAGGUGAAUUAUUUCUAGGAUAUUAUCUACAGCCACAGCUAGGAUUUUUACAAAAUCUUAUCAUUUAAGAGACAGUGAAACUUGUGACAAGAGAUCUCUUUCCUUUGAUUCUAUAACAGUCUUUUUCCAUCCUUAUUUUUACACAAUUAAUAAAGCAUUAGGUGAGAUGAGCUGGCAAAAUUCACCAAAACUGUAACAUUUUGAGCUACUAAACAAAAAAUAAUUGAUCAUCAGUUUCUUGAAUUAUACACAAAAGUUUCUUCCGGGGACGAGGGCGCUGUGGAAAUGGCUCAUUCUGAGCGCUCUUCCAUCACACGCAGUAGUUAGCAGUGGCGGAAAUCACUGUAUUAAAACGGGGAGGGGGGCGGCAUCCAUGACAGUGAAAAGGACACGGCUUCUCAAGGUCAUACACGGGCCAGGGACUGCUCUGCGGACAAGGCCCUACAAACUGAACAGUUACGGGAAUCGAAAACGACCAGCGCAUUCCUGAGUCUUUUAUCAGAUGAAUCUGCAAAAUGAUUCUAACAUCUGUCACCUACUCCUGCGUAUCCCUCCGAGCCAGGGAUGAUGGACGAUGAAGAGGAAAGAAAACAGGAUGCAGACGCACGUGUGUGGAAUUUUCAGCGUUUCACUCUCAUAAAAUUCAUAGCAGUGAGGGGUCUGCGUGUUCCUUGCACUCAGUACGUCUGGUGAGUCAUGGCAUCCGCAGAGCUAUUUAUAGCAUCUGCACCCGUCUCAGCCCAGCAUGUUCUAUUUCUGCAGCACAGGCCUGCCCAAAGAGGACGGCUUAUGUGUGUUGAACCCACGCCUACAUGUGACAAAGCGCUCCUGGAAAGGCCGGAAUGUUCAAAGCCUCCUGGAAAGCACACAUAUGGUUUUUGCAAGAAAGGGGAGAAAGACACACUUCCAUGUCCCGGCAGAGGCAGGGUCCGCAGAAGGCACUUGAUUUCAAUAAAACCGCCCCGGCUUCGCUGGAACCUGAGUUGGGGUAAUUUUCUGGUGGUGCCCUCAGGCGCUCUCCAGCAGGAGUGAUUAUGGGGUGACUGCCCCCCGGGAUCCUGCAGAUCUUCAGUGGCUCCCUGGGCAAAUAAGACACCAUCCCCUGCCCACUGCCGCCCGCCUGUGCUCCGCAGCCCCAGGCCUGUGUCUUCAAACCCUGAUGCGACGUAACAAAUGAACUGAACCCCGAGGCCCCGGAGCUCACGCUCACCCUCCUAAUGAUUUUAAAACGUGCGGCCGCGUCUUGAGAAAGAACAGGCCUGGACCUAAUAUCUGUUAUCAAACGGCGGUAAUUGACACAGACAGGCCGUGCUUUACACUGGGUUAUAAUGAAUCUGCUCCGCUGACCCCAGAGCCUGCACUUCUGAGCGCCCAGGACUCAAGCCCCGAUGCUGUGUCAACUGCUCCAGGGGAGAUGAAUUACGGAUGAGGUACUAACGACGGAUUUCAUCACCUGUUUACCUUCCGCGAUCAGCUGCCCUCCUGUAAUUGACCAGAAACACAUUUCUUGAAGCCACUGUCAGUUAGAAGGGCCUCUUGGUUGAAGGGGUCGUGAAGUCACAUAUACCAAGGAAGCUGGGCUCCUUGGACAGACUUGUUUCUGGUAGCAAAGUUCAACAGGAAGAGGGAGCGGGAACCAUCAGGCGGUUCCAAACAGGAGAGAGAUGAGGCGCUCGGGCGUUCUUCUGUUAGUGCGUUUACUUCUCAAAUAAGGACGGCCUGGAAGGGGGACCCCAUGCGAACAGGUUCUCGCCGUUCAGAAUCAACGCCAGAGCAAAAGUGCCAGGGCCUCUGCGAGCCAUCUCAGCUCCCACCCCCCCGAAGGAGGUGGACGGUCACAGAGGCCCCACUGCAGCAAAGACAGAUCCAGAGAAGUGGGUUCAGAUCCCCACUCCGUGACCACUUCUCCCACCGCAUUUUAAGUUUCCUCGUCUGGAAAGUGGAGCGGCCAGUGCCUUUUGCAUUGGACGGAUGUGCAAAUAAUAAGGUGAGAUGAGGAGGCUCCUGCCGUCUGGUUCCGAGGACGCCGUCCUGCCGUGUUCCGUUCCCCCCCAUUUUAACCGCUGCGUCCAUUCAGUCCUGUUCCUGUCACAUGAGCAGGUGCUGGUGCUGCAGGACACUAAACAGCAUUAAAGGGCCCGAGGAUCCCAUCGCUGUGAAACGGGAGAGUGAGACAAGCAGUCUCUUCAAAAACUUUCCUUCCUGUCUAUUUAAGCUGUGCGUUCUUUUUCUUUCUCCAUUCUUCAUUUAUUUUUAGAUAAAAAUAUUAUAUUAAAUGUCAUGAAAUC
ensembl:lncRNA